UACGAAGGGGGCUAGCGUUGCUCGGAAUCACUGGGCGUAAAGGGUGCGUAGGCGGGUCUUUAAGUCAGGGGUGAAAUCCUGGAGCUCAACUCCAGAACUGCCUUUGAUACUGAGGAUCUUGAGUUCGGGAGAGGUGAGUGGAACUGCGAGUGUAGAGGUGAAAUUCGUAGAUAUUCGCAAGAACACCAGUGGCGAAGGCGGCUGACUGGUCCGGUUCUGACGCUGAGGCGCGAAAGCGUGGGAGCAAACAGG
rnacentral:rRNA from 1 species